rnacentral:rRNA from 1 species
UACGUAGGGUGCAAGCGUUAAUCGGAAUUACUGGGCGUAAAGCGUGCGCAGGCGGUGAUGUAAGACAGGUGUGAAAUCCCCGGGCUUAACCUGGGAACUGCAUUUGUGACUGCAUCGCUGGAGUGCGGCAGAGGGGGGAUGGAAUUCCGCGUGUAGCAGUGAAAUGCGUAGAUAUGCGGAGGAACACCGAUGGCGAAGGCAAUCCCCUGGGCCUGCACUGACGCUCAUGCACGAAAGCGUGGGGAGCAAACAGG